GAUGAACGCUGGCGGCGUGCCUAAUACAUGCAAGUCGAGCGAACAGACGAGGAGCUUGCUCCUCUGACGUUAGCGGCGGACGGGUGAGUACACGUGGAUAACCUACCUAUAAGACUGGGAUAACUUCGGGAAACCGGAGCUAAUACCGGAUAAUAUAUUGAACCGCAUGGUUCAAUAGUGAAAGACGGUUUUGCUGUCACUUAUAGAUGGAUCCGCGCCGCAUUAGCUAGUUGGUAAGGUAACGGCUUACCAAGGCAACGAUGCGUAGCCGACCUGAGAGGGUGAUCGGCCACACUGGAACUGAGACACGGUCCAGACUCCUACGGGAGGCAGCAGUAGGGAAUCUUCCGCAAUGGGCGAAAGCCUGACGGAGCAACGCCGCGUGAGUGAUGAAGGUCUUCGGAUCGUAAAACUCUGUUAUUAGGGAAGAACAAAUGUGUAAGUAACUAUGCACGUCUUGACGGUACCUAAUCAGAAAGCCACGGCUAACUACG
rnacentral:rRNA from 1 species